UUCAAUUUCUCUCUCAAUUUCUAUAGUGUAGGCCCUAUACCCGAGCAUUAUACCCCCCUAAUUAGCGAAGCUCUGCCUCGUUGUAAGUAUCAUAACCCCUGGAUACGUAUUAGAUACUCUGCCCGAUUAAUCAAGGGUUCCGUAACGGCUGUCGUGGUUCUCCCCGACGUAGUCGUCGGAAUGUCGUCUCGGGGAGGAUUAUAACCAGGAAGUCACAAAGGAAAGCCCUAUAACAGCAAUGUAACUUAGUGUGAAGCCAAUAAAAGCCAGCUGGAGAGCACUGAAGGCUUAAAAAAGUGGCAAUAAAAGUUACCUAAUUA
rnacentral:lncRNA from 1 species